CUGUGGUUUGUACCACGCGGGCGGAGAGGUUUAAAAAGGAGACAACUUCUUCUUCUUCAUCCACUUCUUCCAGGGAGGGGAGAAGACACCGGGCACCUAGACCGCUGGACAAGCUCUUCACUUUUUGUAGAGACAAAGGAGUCUUCACUCAGGUCUCUCUUGAAAAAUGUAGUUUAUCUCAAUGAGAGUAACCUGGAUAAAUAAAUUGGCACCAGUGUUGAGGCAGGUGCAGGAGAAGAAACGAAAGAAGCGGGAAAGGAAGACAUUGGAGGAAGUACAGUGCAGUCAUCCAUAAAGUAGAAAGCACUACUAAACUCCUCACCACAGUGUAGUGUUUCCUACUUUAUGGAUGAGUGUACUGUUGGCUACGGUGACAAAGACAUAGCAACCAAAAUGGCGCCUGAAGAGAGAGACUGUUCACAUACAGGAAAUUAGAAAAAGAGGAACCCGCUUUUUUUCACAUAGUGGUGGUGUGCACAACUCAGAGUGUCACCCCCUACAGUUCACAUGGGCUGUGCACCCACCCAACACUGAACAAAGCUGGAAAUACCUCAUGCUUCUCCUUAAAAAAAUGUGAGGCUCUGAAUGCGUUUCAUAUUACAAUUCUGAACAUUAAAUGUUUUAAAUUUCUCAAACUGUAUAAAUAGACUAAUUUCCAUUGAACUGUAAAUGGUCUGGUCCUUUAAAGAGGUCUUAUCAUUCUAUGCUUUAGAAAUGUAUGAUGCAUAUAGAUAAGUCUGUAUUGGUAAGGGAAUUGCAAAAUUUGUGCUCAAUAAAGAAUGAAAUAAAAUGUGA